rnacentral:rRNA from 1 species
UACAGAGGGGGCAAGCGUUGUUCGGAAUUACUGGGCGUAAAGGGCGCGUAGGCGGCCUGUUAAGUCGAACGUGAAAUCCCCGGGCUCAACCCGGGAACUGCGUCCGAUACUGGCAGGCUUGAAUUCGGGAGAGGGAUGCGGAAUUCCAGGUGUAGAGGUGAAAUUCGUAGAUAUUGGGAAGAACACCGGUGGCGAAGGCGGCUCUCUGGACCGACACUGACGCUGAGGCGCGAAAGCGUGGGGAGCAAACAGG